CUUGCUCUGUGGGAUCAGUGGCGAACGGGUGAGUAACACGUGAGCAACCUGCCCCUGACUCUGGGAUAAGCGCUGGAAACGGCGUCUAAUACUGGAUAUGUGACGUGACCGCAUGGUCUGCGUCUGGAAAGAAUUUCGGUUGGGGAUGGGCUCGCGGCCUAUCAGCUUGUUGGUGAGGUAAUGGCUCACCAAGGCGUCGACGGGUAGCCGGCCUGAGAGGGUGACCGGCCACACUGGGACUGAGACACGGCCCAGACUCCUACGGGAGGCAGCAGUGGGGAAUAUUGCACAAUGGGCGCAAGCCUGAUGCAGCAACGCCGCGUGAGGGACGACGGCCUUCGGGUUGUAAACCUCUUUUAGCAGGGAAGAAGCGAAAGUGACGGUACCUGCAGAAAAAGCGCCGGCUAACUACGUGCCAGCAGCCGCGGUAAUACGUAGGGCGCAAGCGUUAUCCGGAAUUAUUGGGCGUAAAGAGCUCGUAGGCGGUUUGUCGCGUCUGCUGUGAAAUCCGGAGGCUCAACCUCCGGCCUGCAGUGGGUACGGGCAGACUAGAGUGCGGUAGGGGAGAUUGGAAUUCCUGGUGUAGCGGUGGAAUGCGCAGAUAUCAGGAGGAACACCGAUGGCGAAGGCAGAUCUCUGGGCCGUAACUGACGCUGAGGAGCGAAAGGGUGGGGAGCAAACAGGCUUAGAUACCCUGGUAGUCCACCCCGUAAACGUUGGGAACUAGUUGUG
rnacentral:rRNA from 1 species